ACCAAGAAGCAUCCACCUUUCUCUGAGGAAAGAAGAACUUACUGGGUUCUAUAAAUCCAGGAAAUUUUGAUAAUUAGGUGGUGAAGUGCAAAUCACACUUAUUAAGGCUGCAAUAUGAUUGAUAGUUUUAAUAUAGAACAUAAUGGCAAUAAGCUUAAUUUCUUUAAUGAAGGAUGAUCUGAGGAAAAGACCUGUGAAAACCACACUGGAUUCUGUCGGAGGAGGAUGAAUCGUUGCCUUUUACCUGUGAAAUCAGAUAUGAAAAAAGCCUUCAAAGCUACGCAGAAGACGUCGGAAGAUACCAGAAAAUAACAGAUGUAGUGUUUGGGAAAAUUGUCUGCAAAAAAUGAAAUAUAAGAGAGGUAACGCUUAUUUACAAUAAUUAAACCUUUAUUUUUAAUAACCAAUGAGUAACCCAAAUGAACUACAUUCAUAAAGAAAAAAGUGGGUAUUCUUAAAUUAUGCAACACUUUUCUUCCGUGACCCCUCUCCCAUUUCCUUCCAACUAUGAAAGAACUGCUUCCUAACACAAUGAUGUUGCUUCUUAACAAACGCCCGUUUUCAAUUCUGGGGCAACAAACUUUUUCGGAUAAAAUGAAAGAUUUGUACUGAGCACUUGGAAAGAACUGCAAUAAAG